rnacentral:tRNA from 1 species
UAGCUCAGGGGAAGAGCACCUGACUUUUAAUCAGGGUGUCGUGGGUUCGAAUCCC